rnacentral:sRNA from 1 species
AUGUCGUCCGCAACAACGCAGUCGAAAAAGCGCACUUCUGUUUAUUGCUGUGCUUACGAUUGCCACAACAGCUACGGAAACACAGCUGGGGAGCUCCCGGUGGUAGAGUUUUACCGCUUUCCAGCAAAGCCGUACGAGGCAGAGCGUCGACGGAAAUGGGCUGCAGCGGUGCGGCGCGCAACCGGAGACGGAGACUCCUGGGAACCCGCGAAUGGGCAGGCCAGGAUUUGCAGCUGCCACUUCGUAGGAAACAAAAAAAGCUCCAUCGCUCAGCACCCCUCUUACAUCCCCACGAUCUUCCCUUCGUCGUACAAGGCGAGAUGCAAUGUGACGACGGAGACACAUUUGCAAAGAUAUGCACGCUGGCAAAACAGGAGGAGCUGGGGAAACUCAAGUGUUUCCUCACAACCUGCAGCUUCAAGGGGGGAACUCGCUGGGCCCUCGACUACAGCAGCUGGGAACUCGGCCACUGAAGACGGUCCGGAGGUCUCUGCUGAACCGCCACUGUCAGAGGGAGACGCCGCGUGGAGUGUUAACGCAUUCGCACAGACCGAAAAUGAUGGCGGAGUUGGAGCCUGCAGCUUGUUUUUGUCCGUCGCAUCGGAUGGUGAGGCAUCUACCCAGGUGUCCCAUGCUGUCACUGAAAGUGUUGCUGUCCAAGCAUCAACAGAACGUGCAGAAAUAGCUGUGGGACCUGACAGCCGUACCUGCAUUUUUGGCUGGGCACGAUUUUCUUGUGGGGAAGGUUGGUGCUCUUGAAGAGCUCUGCUCGGUGAGCACAAAUGUUUUCGCUCUGCUACUGCAUUUGCUUUGUUCUAUCGUUGUCAGGGAGACUGAUGUCUCUAUUGAAAACCAACUGCUCUUAUUUUUCGUGAAGUUGAAGCUGGGCAUUUCAUUCACGAGCAUUGGCGUGCUUUUUGGUGUGCACAGGACGACAGUGAGACGCAUCUUCUUUUUCAUUUUGAGGAACCUGAGCUCUGCCACAAGCUCUUGGAUUCCACAUCCAUCUCUCUUCGCGGUACAGGCAACGAUGCCAGAGUGCUUCGAAGCACACUAUCCUAGGUGCCGGUACAUUAUUGACUGCACCGAGGUGAGGACGGAAACUCCUGCAACAAUAGAACAACAGCGGGCACUCUUUUCACAUUACAAAGGAUGCCACACGGUUAAGUUCUUAAUUGCCAUUCUUCCCAAUGGAACUGUCACCUUUAUCUCGGAUGCAUAUGGGGGUCGGACGUCGGACACUUACAUAACCAUAGACUCUGGGUUUUUGGAACACGUAGAACCAGGAGAUGUGCUGACCGACAAAGGCUUUCCCGGAAUCAAGGCGCCAGUCGAAAACAAGCAUGGGGUUAUGGUGUUUCCCCCAUUUUCGAAAGGCCAGUUGCAGUUCACAAAUGAGGAGAGGGAGAUGACGUAUCAAGUGGCACAGGUGCGAAUUCAUGUCGAGAGGGCCAUUCAGUGGGUCAAAGUUUUCAAUAUCCUUAAUAGCAGAGUCCCGACCGAACUUAUUCCUAGAAUGACGGACAUUGUACGCAUGUGCUGCGUACUCGUGAAUCUGCAGCCACCAAUUAUUGCGAAAUAA